GAUUAUGGCUCAGGACGAACGCUGGCGGCGUGCUUAACACAUGCAAGUCGAGCGAUGAAGCUCUUCGGAAGUGGAUUAGCGGCGGACGGGUGAGUAACACGUGGGUAACCUGCCUCGUAGAGGGGAAUAGCCUUCCGAAAGGAAGAUUAAUACCGCAUAAGAUUGUAAUAUCGCAUGAUAUAGCAAUUAAAGGAGUAAUCCGCUAUGAGAUGGACCCGCGUCGCAUUAGCUAGUUGGUGAGGUAACGGCUCACCAAGGCGACGAUGCGUAGCCGACCUGAGAGGGUGAUCGGCCACAUUGGGACUGAGACACGGCCCAGACUCCUACGGGAGGCAGCAGUGGGGAAUAUUGCACAAUGGGGGAAACCCUGAUGCAGCAACGCCGCGUGAGUGAUGACGGUCUUCGGAUUGUAAAGCUCUGUCUUUAGGGACGAUAAUGACGGUACCUAAGGAGGAAGCCACGGCUAACUACGUGCCAGCCGCCGC
rnacentral:rRNA from 1 species